rnacentral:lncRNA from 1 species
AUGAACAUGAACCCUAACCCACAUUUCCAGGGCAGGCUUCUGUGAGAACAGAUUCAGUGUAAAAGAUCCCAGAGAGGUGAAAAAUCUCCAAGCGCUGAAGUUCUGCUUGUUUAUGUUGACUGUUUCACAACUUGAAAGUUAACCAUUCCAGUAAUUACUCUCCUCAAAUGAGAAGCCAUUCUUUUUCAAGUCAGACUAACUCACAAAGCAAACAAGACUUGUAAAUUCUAAGAAGAAAAAAAAAAAAAAGAAAAAAAAACAUUCAAAGCCUUCUAUUGAAGCUGCACAUUUCAAAGGGCCAAGCAUCUUCAAAUGCCUUGCUUGUUUCCACUCUGCUGUGGAGCAGUUCUUUCUACACACCAGAUCCCAAGAAGACAACCAGGAAUCCAAAUGCCUUUGUUCAAGAAACUUGAAGACAUGAAAACCAAAAGAACAACUCCUACAGUUACGAGGGACUUUGAGGACGUCUAGGUAGCAUAGUAGAUAAAACUGUUUACCCUUUCAAGUAGUUAACCUUCUUCUGUUUCUAGCCUUUCUCUGCUGUCUUUUUUAUUUCAUUCCUGUACAAUUCCCACACUGGUUUUGGAUAUUAAGAUUUUAAGACCUGGUUGCUUAAUAAGAAGAUCUGCAAAUAAAUGUGGGAAAAAAUAACUUAACCA